UUUGUCUUCGUUGAUCACUUAGAAGAGACUUUGCUGAUCCUAAGCAGGGGGCAAAAUAGCAUAUAAAAGAUCACUUGCGCUGGGGAAGUCAGUGGCCAUGUGGUGCCUUAAGGAGACUCAAGCAGCCCUAUGGAGAUGCCACAUGACGAAGAACUAAGGCCUCCUGCCAAAAGCCAGCAUCCACUUGCCAGUCAUGUGAGUGAGUCAUCUUGGAAACAGCUCCUCCAGCCUCAGUCAAGCUUCAGAGGCAUCCCUGGAUGACACCUUGACUGCAACCUGCAGGACCACCCGGCUGAGCAGCACCCAAAUUCCUGACCCCCAAAAAUUGUAUGAAAUAAUAAAUGCUUGUUGUUUUAAACCAUGACGUUUUGGGGUAACUAACACAAUUUUUCCUUUGAGAUUAAGGCUAGUUGUCAGAUUCCUUACCUCCCACCUAUGAUUCUCAACUCAGGUUUCUACUAUGUAUUCUCAUGUUUAUUUAAACUUGUUUGAAAAAUGUGAGUGGCUAUUAUGUACCAGACAUUUUUAUGAAGUAAGAAUAAGAGAAUUUCUG
rnacentral:lncRNA from 1 species